UACAGAGGGGGCAAGCGUUGUUCGGAAUUACUGGGCGUAAAGGGCGCGUAGGCGGCCCGCUAAGUCGAACGUGAAAUCCCCGAGCUCAACUCGGGAACUGCGUCCGAUACUGGCGGGCUUGAAUCCGGGAGAGGGAUGCGGAAUUCCAGGUGUAGCGGUGAAAUGCGUAGAUAUUGGAAAGACCACCGAUGGCGAGGGCACUCUACUGGGCCAUUACUGACACUGAGAGACGAAAGCUAGGGGAGCAAAUGGG
rnacentral:rRNA from 1 species